rnacentral:rRNA from 1 species
CCACACGGUAAACGAUGGAUACUCGCUGUUGGCGAUACACAGUCAGCGGCUUAGCGAAAGCGUUAAGUAUCCCACCUGGGGAGUACGCCGGCAACGGUGAAACUCAAAGGAAUUGACGGGGGCCCGCACAAGCGGAGGAACAUGUGGUUUAAUUCGAUGAUACGCGAGGAACCUUACCCGGGCUUAAAUUGCACUGGCUUUCACCCGAAAGGGUGUUUUCUUCGGACCAGUGUGAAGGUGCUGCAUGGUUGU